rnacentral:rRNA from 1 species
UACGAAGGGGGCUAGCGUUGCUCGGAAUCACUGGGCGUAAAGGGUGCGUAGGCGGGUCUUUAAGUCAGGGGUGAAAUCCUGGAGCUCAACUCCAGAACUGCCUUUGAUACUGAGGAUCUUGAGUUCGGGAGAGGUGAGUGGAACUGCGAGUGUAGAGGUGAAAUUCGUAGAUAUUCGCAAGAACACCAGUGGCGAAGGCGGCUCACUGGCCCGAUAUUGACGCUGAGGCACGAAAGCGUGGAGAGCAAACAGG